rnacentral:tRNA from 1 species
UGGGCCGUAGCCAAGCGGUAAGGCAACGGACUUUGACUCCGUCAUUCGUUGGUUCGAAUCCACCCGGCCCAGCCA